UACGGAGGGUGUAAGCGUUGUCCGGAUUUAUUGGGUUAAAGGGUAGGCGUAGGCGGCUUUUUAAGGUUCAGUGGUGGAAAUAACAGCAGCUCAACUGUUGAGGUGCCAUUGAUACUGAGAGGCUUGAGUACAGAUGAGGUAGGCGGAAUUUAUGGUGUAGCGGUGAAAUGCAUAGAUACCAUAAAGAACACCGAUUGCGAAGGCAGCUUACUAAGCUGUAACUGACGCUGAGGCACGAAAAGCGUGGGGAGCGAACAGG
rnacentral:rRNA from 1 species